rnacentral:rRNA from 1 species
UUAAGUUAUUAAGGGCGCACGGUGGAUGCCUUGGCACUAGAAGCCGAUGAAGGACGUUACUAACGACGAUAUGCUUUGGGGAGCUGUAAGUAAGCUUUGAUCCAGAGAUUUCCGAAUGGGGAAACCCAGCAUGAGUUAUGUCAUGUUAUCGAUAUGUGAAUACAUAGCAUAUCAGAAGGCACACCCGGAGAACUGAAACAUCUUAGUACCCGGAGGAAGAGAAAGAAAAUUCGAUUCCCUUAGUAGCGGCGAGCGAAACGGGAAGAGCCCAAACCAACAAGCUUGCUUGUUGGGGUUGUAGGACACUCUGUACGGAGUUACAAAGGACGACAUUAGACGAAUCAUCUGGAAAGAUGAAUCAAAGAAGGUAAUAAUCCUGUAGUCGAAAAUGUUGUCUCUCUUGAGUGGAUCCUGAGUACGACGGAGCACGUGAAAUUCCGUCGGAAUCUGGGAGGACCAUCUCCUAAGGCUAAAUACUCUCUAGUGACCGAUAGUGAACCAGUACCGUGAGGGAAAGGUGAAAAGCACCCCGGAAGGGGAGUGAAAUAGAACCUGAAACCGUGUGCUUACAAGUAGUCAGAGCCCGUUAAUGGGUGAUGGCGUGCCUUUUGUAGAAUGAACCGGCGAGUUGCGAUUUGAUGCAAGGUUAAGCAGUAAAUGUGGAGCCGUAGCGAAAGCGAGUCUGAAUAGGGCGUUUAGUAUUUGGUCGUAGACCCGAAACCAGGUGAUCUACCCUUGGUCAGGUUGAAGUUCAGGUAACACUGAAUGGAGGACCGAACCGACUUACGUUGAAAAGUGAGCGGAUGAACUGAGGGUAGCGGAGAAAUUCCAAUCGAACCUGGAGAUAGCUGGUUCUCUCCGAAAUAGCUUUAGGGCUAGCCUCAAGUGAUGAUUAUUGGAGGUAGAGCACUGUUUGGACGAGGGGCCCCUCUCGGGUUACCGAAUUCAGACAAACUCCGAAUGCCAAUUAAUUUAACUUGGGAGUCAGAACAUGGGUGAUAAGGUCCGUGUUCGAAAGGGAAACAGCCCAGACCACCAGCUAAGGUCCCAAAAUAUAUGUUAAGUGGAAAAGGAUGUGGCGUUGCCCAGACAACUAGGAUGUUGGCUUAGAAGCAGCCAUCAUUUAAAGAGUGCGUAAUAGCUCACUAGUCGAGUGACACUGCGCCGAAAAUGUACCGGGGCUAAACAUAUUACCGAAGCUGUGGAUUGUCCUUUGGACAAUGGUAGGAGAGCGUUCUAAGGGCGUUGAAGCAUGAUCGUAAGGACAUGUGGAGCGCUUAGAAGUGAGAAUGCCGGUGUGAGUAGCGAAAGACGGGUGAGAAUCCCGUCCACCGAUUGACUAAGGUUUCCAGAGGAAGGCUCGUCCGCUCUGGGUUAGUCGGGUCCUAAGCUGAGGCCGACAGGCGUAGGCGAUGGAUAACAGGUUGAUAUUCCUGUACCACCUAUAAUCGUUUUAAUCGAUGGGGGGACGCAGUAGGAUAGGCGAAGCGUGCGAUUGGAUUGCACGUCUAAGCAGUAAGGCUGAGUAUUAGGCAAAUCCGGUACUCGUUAAGGCUGAGCUGUGAUGGGGAGAAGACAUUGNGUCUUCGAGUCGUUGAUUUCACACUGCCGAGAAAAGCCUCUAGAUAGAAAAUAGGUGCCCGUACCGCAAACCGACACAGGUAGUCAAGAUGAGAAUUCUAAGGUGAGCGAGCGAACUCUCGUUAAGGAACUCGGCAAAAUGACCCCGUAACUUCGGGAGAAGGGGUGCUCUUUAGGGUUAACGCCCAGAAGAGCCGCAGUGAAUAGGCCCAAGCGACUGUUUAUCAAAAACACAGGUCUCUGCUAAACCGUAAGGUGAUGUAUAGGGGCUGACGCCUGCCCGGUGCUGGAAGGUUAAGAGGAGUGGUUAGCUUCUGCGAAGCUACGAAUCGAAGCCCCAGUAAACGGCGGCCGUAACUAUAACGGUCCUAAGGUAGCGAAAUUCCUUGUCGGGUAAGUUCCGACCCGCACGAAAGGCGUAACGAUUUGGGCACUGUCUCAACGAGAGACUCGGUGAAAUCAUAGUACCUGUGAAGAUGCAGGUUACCCGCGACAGGACGGAAAGACCCCGUGGAGCUUUACUGUAGCCUGAUAUUGAAAUUCGGCACAGCUUGUACAGGAUAGGUAGGAGCCUUUGAAACGUGAGCGCUAGCUUACGUGGAGGCGCUGGUGGGAUACUACCCUAGCUGUGUUGGCUUUCUAACCCGCACCACUUAUCGUGGUGGGAGACAGUGUCAGGCGGGCAGUUUGACUGGGGCGGUCGCCUCCUAAAAGGUAACGGAGGCGCUCAAAGGUUCCCUCAGAAUGGUUGGAAAUCAUUCAUAGAGUGUAAAGGCAUAAGGGAGCUUGACUGCGAGACCUACAAGUCGAGCAGGGUCGAAAGACGGACUUAGUGAUCCGGUGGUUCCGCAUGGAAGGGCCAUCGCUCAACGGAUAAAAGCUACCCCGGGGAUAACAGGCUUAUCUCCCCCAAGAGUUCACAUCGACGGGGAGGUUUGGCACCUCGAUGUCGGCUCAUCGCAUCCUGGGGCUGUAGUCGGUCCCAAGGGUUGGGCUGUUCGCCCAUUAAAGCGGUACGCGAGCUGGGUUCAGAACGUCGUGAGACAGUUCGGUCCCUAUCCGUCGUGGGCGUAGGAAAUUUGAGAGGAGCUGUCCUUAGUACGAGAGGACCGGGAUGGACAUACCUCUGGUGUACCAGUUGUCGUGCCAACGGCAUAGCUGGGUAGCUAUGUGUGGACGGGAUAAGUGCUGAAAGCAUCUAAGCAUGAAGCCCCCCUCAAGAUGAGAUUUCCCAACUUCGGUUAUAAGAUCCCUCAAAGAUGAUGAGGUUAAUAGGUUCGAGGUGGAAGCAUGGUGACAUGUGGAGCUGACGAAUACUAAUCGAUCGAAGACUUAAUCAA